CCUAAAUGUGAGACAAUUGUGAAAAGUGGAGGACAGAGCCACCUGGUUAAAUACAGCCCCAGCUUUCUGGUGAGAGGACUGAAACCAAGAUGUGUCAAGUAACUAGAAUGUGCCUGGACAGAUACUGUAGAAAGCAAAACCAUAAAGUUGUUCAUGAGCUUGUGGACGCACCUGCCAGCUGUGAAUAAGUGGCUCUAAUCCCGAACAACUUACCUAAAAAGAGCCUGAGAGCUGAACUGUGCAAUGGCCCACUUUCCAGUCCUCACUGACCACUGGGUUGCACACACUUUGGAGAUCUCUGAACAGCAGUGUCAAGGCUUUCAAAUAGAGUUAUCUUUGAAACGACAACACAUGAAAGUCUGGUUGGUACUUGGAGCUUAAAUACAAGGCAAUUGUGUGCCUGCAAAAACAAAAAUAGCAAUAUUAUCCUUAAGAUUUCAACAAGACACAGUGUCUCAUCACAUAAUCCAAAGAAGUCCAGGUUACAAGCCCCACAAUAUUCAGCAUUAUGAAAAAACAGGGAGAUCUUAAUUCACAUGGCAAAGAGAAUCCUCGAAUAACAAUAUUGAGAGGACACAGAUGUCAAAAUCAUCUGACACAUACAUUAAAGCAGAUAUUAUAACAAUGCUCCUAGAAUCGGGGAUAACAUUCGUGAAGUGAAUGGAAAGUUGGAAAGUCUCACCAAAUAUUUCGAAUACAUAAACACCAAUUUAAACUUAAGAAUUAAAAAAAUGUAUUAACCAAAACUCUUAGGGGAAAUAAAAAGCUUAAUUGGAGGAUCUCCAUAAUCGAAUGCAGAAGACUAAGGAAAAAGUCAAUGAACUUGAAAACAGAACACGAAUACCUACAUAAUCUGAACUAUAGAGAGAAAGGAGGAUUUUAUUGUCUCUGAACAGAGGCUCAGGCACAAAUAAAAAAUAACAAAUCCAACAUUCACAUUAUUGUAAUCUGGAAAGAAGAGGACAAAGUGGUCUUUGUGGGAUAAAACUUUGAACAAUUAAUAGCUGAAAAUGGUUCAAAUUUGUCAAAAGAUAUAAACCAGAUUUUUAAAGUUCAGUAAAUGUCAAUCAGGAUAAACCCAAAGAAACCCAUAGCAAGGCAUAUCAUAAUCAAACUGCUGAAAACUAAGAAAAUACAAAACAAUUUUGAAAGCAGCCAAAGGGAAAUGAAAGAGAAACUACCAAAUGAAUGAUUGUAGAUUUCGCAUCAGGAACCAUAGGGGCCAGAAAAAAUGUCAUAACAUUCGGUAAGUAACAAAAGAAAAAGACAUAUCGACCCAGAAUGCUAUGUGGAGCAAAAGUAUCUUCCAGACAUAAAGGCAAAUAAAUGCAUUCUCAGUGGAAGGUAAGUAAAUACAUUCUCAUUCUUAGGAAGACUGCUGGAAAAGAAUUAGCAAAGAUUUGAGAUAAGAAAAAUGAUACCAGAAGGAAACUUAGAACAUCAUCAGUGAAGGAACAAAAGCAGAAAUAGAACAUGUCUGGGUAGACAUAACAGACUAUUAUUCUUCCCUUGAGUUCCUUAAGGAGACUACGGAAAAGAAGAGUGACUAAGAUCUCUGAAGAAGGGAAAAGCUAGAUGACUGGGCCACAAGAGAAAAAAAGCAGCAAGACAGCUUGAAUGUGAGGCAACUGUGAAAAGUGCAGGGCAGAGCCACCUGGGUAAAUACAGCCCUGGCUUUCUGGUGAGAGGACUGAAACCAGGAUGUGUCAAGUAACUAGAAUGUGCCUGGACAGAUACUGUAGAAAGCAAACCCAUAAAGUUGUUCAUGAGCUUGUGGACGCACCUGCCAGCUGUGAAUAAGUGGGUCUAAUCCCAAACAACUUACCUAAAAAGAGCCUGAGGACUGAACUAAACAAUGGUCCGCUUUCCAGUCCUCACUGACCACUGGUUGCACACACUCCAGAGAUCUCUCAUCCGCAGUGUCAAGGCUUUCAAAUAGAGUUAUCUGUGAAACAACAACACAUGGAAGUCUGGUUGGUACUUGGAGCUUAAAUACAAGGCAAUUGUGUGCCUGCAAAAACAAAAAGAGCAAUAUUAUCCUUAAGAUUUCAACAAGACACAGUGUCUCAUCACAUAAUCCAAAGAAGUCCAGGUUACAAGCCCCAAAAUAUUCAGCAUUAUGAAAAACCAGGGAGAUCUUAAUUCACAUGGCAAAGAGAAUCCUUGCAUAACAAUAUUGAGAGGACACAUAUGUCAAAAUCAUCUGACACAUACAUUAAAGCAGUUAUUAUAACAAUGCUCCUAGAAUUACGGGAUAGCAUUCAUGAAGUGAAUGGAAAGUUGGAAAGUCUCACCAAAUAUUUGGAAUAUGUAAACACCAAUUUAAACUUAAGAAUUAAAAAAAGUAUUAACCAAAACUAUUAGGGGAAAUAAAAAGCUUAAUUGGAUGAUCUCAAUAGCAGUAUGCAGAAGACUAAGGAAAAAGUCAAUGAACUUGAAAACGGAACAAGAAUACCUACAGAAUCUGACCUAUAGAAAGAAAGGAGGAUUUUAUUGUCCCUGAACAGAGGCUCAGGGACAAAUAAAAAAUAACAAAUCUAACAUUCACAUUAUUGUAAUCUGGAAACAUUCACAUUAUUGUAAGAGGACAAAGAGGUCUUUGUGGGAUAAAACUGUGAAGAAUUAAUGGCUGAAAAUGUAUCAAAUUUCUCAAAAGAUAUAAACCAGAUUUUUAAAGUUCAGUAAAUGUCAAGCAGGAUAAACCAAAAGAAACCCAUUGCAAGACAUAUCAUAAUCAAACUGCGGAAAAUUAAGAAAACACAAAACAAUUUUGAAAGCAGCCAAAGGGAAAUGAAAGAUAAAAUACCAAAUGAAUGAUUGUAGAUUUCUCAUCGGGAACCCAGGAGCCAGAAAAAAAUGUCAUAACAUUCAGUAAAUACCAAAGGAAAAAUACAUUAUCAACCCAGAAUGGUAUGUGGAGCAAAAGUAUCUUCCAGACAUAAAGGCAAAUAAAUGCAUUCUCAUUGGAAGGUAAAUAAAUACAUUCUCAGUCCUAGCAAAACUGCUGGAAAAGAAUUAGCAAAGGUUUGAGAUAAGAAAAGUGAUACCAGAAGGAAACUUAGAACAUCAUCAAUGAAGGAACAAAAGCAGAAAUAGAAAAUGUCUGGGUAGACAUAACAGACUAUUAUUCUUCUCUUGAGUUCCUUAAGGUAUGUUUGAUGGUUGAAAGCAAAAAUUGUAACUUUAUCUGAUGCAGUUGUCAUUGUAUCUAGAUGUACUACAUACAUAAGAUAAAAGGGUAAAUGUAAUGGGACUAACUCUUGAUGAAGUUUCUAUAUUCAACUUGAAUGGUAAAAUAUUGAUUCUUAGUAUACUGUGAAAAGUUAUAUAUGUAUAUGGUAAUCCCUAGACCACUUAACAACCAGAUUGAAAUAAACCAAAACAAGAUAGACAGAGGAACAUAGAAGAAUUAAAACAAAGGGAAAAAAGGUUAAUAAAUUAUUAAAUAGUAGAUCUAUCUAAAAACUUAUCUAUAAUAACAUUAUAUGUAAAUUAUCUAAAUGCAUUAAGUAAAAACUAGAGAUCAUCAGAAUGUGUUAAAAAUAAAUAUGCUGACUAAAGAAAGCCACCUGCAAUACACUUAUAAAUAAGAAUAAAAGUUAUAGAGCAGAUUGAAAGAAAAGAGUGGGAAAAGAUACCUCAUGCAAGCAUUAAUCAAAGACAGCUGUGGUGUAUAUAUAUAAAAUCAGACAAAGUAGAUUUGAAAGCAGAGAAACUUUUCAGGAAUAAUGAGGCCUCCUAAAUAAUUAUGAUUGUCAAUUUUUCAGGAGAAUAUUGUCCCAAAUGUAUAUGAGGACACAGAGCUUCAAAACUCAUAAACAAAAUUGGAUACGCCAAGUAAAAAUAGAAAAAUCCAGUUAUAGUUGCAGUCAUUAACACUCCUCUCUGAGUAAUUGGAAGAUUUAGUGGAACACAAAUCAACAGACAUACUGGAGAAUUGAACCAUGCCAUCCAGUAAUGGACCUAUCAAUUUCAUAAUGCAAAAUAAAAAUUCAGGUAGAAAGCAAAGACAAAAAUUAAAAGAAAAGCAAGAUCAUGUUAUAAUGAGAAAAUUAAGAGUAGUCCAGUGUAUAGAAGGGUGCUAUUAUUGAAAGAGUUUGAAAUAGUGACUUAGUUAUUUUGAAACAUUUUUGAAGACGUUAUUUAGCUGGAAAUGACAGAAAGACUGAAAAUGGUGAAUGUGGAGGUGGAUCUUCCCUUGUCCAUAUUUAUCUUGUCUUCGUUUGAGGUCUGGGGUGUCUAUACUUCCUCUGAAUUACCUGAUCUUACUACAGUGUCUGGCACAGAGCAUCUCCCCAGUGAAUAUGUACUAAAUGAGUAGAAAGUAAUUGAUAGAUUCAAAAGAGUUGUGCAAGAAUAAUGUUCAUUAUUUGACUAAUCACUGAAUGUGGUGUUUCAAGGAAGACAAUGAAUCAAAGUUGACUUGAAAGGUAAGCCCAGGGCCAGACGUGGUGGCUCAUUUCUGUAAUCCCAGCACUUUGGGAGGCCGAGAUCAGUGGAUCCCUUGACACCAGGAG
rnacentral:lncRNA from 1 species